rnacentral:lncRNA from 1 species
GAGUUUCUCCAGGCUACCCUCCCCAAGAGCCUUUGGCCAAGGGUGCGGCGAACGGCGUAGCCCGGGGCUUGAGCCCUGGGGCUUCGCACGGUUGAUUUUGUCCUGGAAAUCCCCCUGCUUUGUCAUGUGCUGGGCUGCUGUUUGCAAGGUAACACCUAGAGAGCUGAUUACAUCCAUACACUGGGGAAAUGGGGAACAUGUAUCUGGGAUGGGUGAAUGAUUUUUCACUUCUGUGAGAGAGAUCAAAUUAUCAGCAGGGCUGCUAAUCUGCCUAUCUGCAAAAAUAGCCAGAAAUAUGCACAAAUGUAAACAUAAAAGGAGACGCUCAUAAUUUGCAUAGCUCUCAUGUUUGUCCAUCAGUCACCCUAAAUGCCUGUAAGCUGUCAGGCUGGACACAAAUGUGCUGUAGCUUGAGGAAUUGUCAUUUCAUCUUCCAAUGAGAUACUUUAUUAUCACCGUUAAUUGAUUAAACAUUUUCAACACUCACUGAGUAAACCAGUCACGCCAUCUAUUUCUACCUUGGGCUUCUGUUUAUGGUCUGAGUGUGCCAAACAUCCAGACUAAAUGAAAAUAUACCCUCCAGGAACCACGCGUGGCAUCUCUCAUAACAAGCUGCAGCACCUCUCUGAAGCACGGCUGCUAUGUCAUGGGGAAUCCCGGGAAUCUUUAGCUUAACUCCCUGUGCCUUGGAGCCUCUAGGAGGACUGGAAAGUGAGCGGUGUUGGAGGAUUCAUGUGUGCAGAUGGCUGGCAUACUUACAUCUCUCAUUUUGAGGGAAAAGGAGCAGUGUCAAGGAACAGAUUAGGUAUCCCUGGGAUAGCUGGGAUUUGUGACAAUCCCAGUUGACAAUGUGAGUCUCAGCCAGAUCUCUGAGACUGCCCGUGUUGACCUUCUAUGGUUUUCUGGAUCAUGGGAGGGUGCUGAUUGUUGCUUGUGCCUUAUUCAUUUAAAAUUCUCUGUCUGGAGUUCCCGCUGCGGCUCAGCUUGUUAAGAACCCAACACAGUGUCCAUGAGGGUGUGUGUUCGAUCCCUGGUCUCGCUCAGGGGGUUAAGGAUCUGGCAUUGCUGCAAGCUGUGGUGUAGGCUGGCACCUGCAGCUCUGAUUUGAUCCCUUGCCAGGGAACUUCUAUAUGCCACAGGUGUGGCUCUAGAAAAUAAAAAAAAUUCUCUAUCAAAUUCAAAUAAAAAGGAAUUGAUCCUAUUUGCCUUUCCAUUUUAAAGAUGGUAUUAAAGCCUGGGAAGGAUAGUGGGGGUGGAGUGGGAGAGAGGAGAAGAACUUGGCUAAAUGGAAAGUGUUGAGAUGAUUCAAAUGGCUCAUGCUGACAGAGCAGGGGUGCCUUGACCUUCUGUGGGGGCCACGUAGGCAGCCUCCUACUGGUGGUUAUUUUGGGUGCUGGAAAGCCUGCCUGCCCUGAAAUAUCUCUCCGUGCCAUCUUGCCAGAUUCUGUAAUUCCCACGACAAGAGCCAUCCUCCACUUAAAGGCAUUGUGUCUCCAGAAGGCCUGGGUCAGAGUGCAGCCAUCCAUAGGCAAUGACACAUAUUUAACCCAUAAUCGCCCAUAAGCCCGGAACCUGACUGCAUAGAACAGCUACCAGCUGUUGGUAACCCAACACUGCCUUGCUAAGAGAAGCUUUUUGACAGCCUCUUCACAUAAGUGGGGGAAAUGGGUGGCUGCAAAGCUCUGGAUCAGGAGCGUGAUGGCUUCCAUGGGAGCAGCCAAAUUGCUGCAGUGAUGGCGUCUCUCUCCAUCCUCCUGGGGUACAGGAAAGUUAGAUGUUGGCUAGUAUGAGAAAUUUGGAAAUGCAAAUAGCAUCAGGGGAGCGUAUAUAAGUUCAUGGAUGAUGGAUCCAACGUGGAAUCAGCGAAUGCUUGGGGCACACCCUUAACUGGUUUAUCUCUGAGGGAGCAAGACAACUGUCUACCAGGCUUGAUUUGAUUGACAACCCUCCCCCCCCAAUAUUCUGUUAUUGGUCAGUAAAUGUGUCUGAUGGUUUCACUGUAAUUAUUUAUUUCUUUGGGCAUAGAAGUCACUGUUAAAAGUUAAACAUGUUCUCAGGGAGGGAAAACCAAGUAUUUUUCAGAAUUAAAUAAUCUCAUAGGGUAGCCUGAGGGAAAGCUUGGAAGCAUGGUAUGCUGCAGCUGUGUGUGAGGAAAACAUUCUUCACAAAAUGCUGGAACCCAACAGCCUGCUCUGGGGAGUGAGCCAGUUUCCCACUAAGUGUGGUUAGAGAAUCAUAUGCUCUCUUCAUAAAAUUAAAUUCUUAGGAUGGUAUUUAGGGCUCCUUUUUUCUUCUGUCCUUGCUUUUCUUGUUUCUUGGUCUUGGUUUCUCUCUCUGAAUUCCCUCCAGGGUGUCGAAAGCUGCACCCACACAUCCCCCUCCUUUUUACUCACUUUCUUUUGGGCAGUCAUUGCAUGUUUCAGGACGUGGUUGGGCAGAAGGGCACCACUGAAAGUGCAGGCAGCCCUCUCUUCCUUAGAACAUGCUUCUGGGAGCUGGCUGUAUAACUGUGCCUCAUAAGCAGUCUACCUAAGCUUACCUUAGCCUACCUAAGAGUGUGGCAAUUUAAGAGCAGACUCCCUGAAGCUAUUUUGCUGGUGAAUCUUCCCUAAAAGCAAGAAUUAUAGGCCACCAACAGAAGGUAGAGCUCAGGCUUCCCCAGUGGACAGGUGAGAGCUGGCAAAAGAGCAAAGAAACAGGAGAAUAUGGACUCUGAAGUCAGGGAGUAUUAGGAAGUACCAAUGAGAGAGCAAGUAGAAUUGGAUGUGAAAAGAAGUCGGAUAGACUGGGGCUUAAUAUUCAGUAGCUGAGCCUCCUUGAAGUUAAUGUCUUUGAGCCUUAAUUUUCUUUAUGGGGUAAUAUUAAUACCUACUUCAUAAGUUCUAAUUAGAAGCACAUGGUUGAUCAGCACUGUGAUUCUGGCUCAUAAGAGGUAUUUAAACUAUUCAUUAUUAUGAUUACUAUUAAGAGCAUUUCAGCAGAGUGGUGGUUUGAGUUUGAAUAAGAUUUUAGGAAGUGAAGUUCAGUUGGGAAUGGAGACAGAGUUGUAUAGCGUUAACUUCUGGCUUAGGUGAGGUUGAAGGAAGGAUUUUUUAGGAUGAGGAAACUUGAGCAUGGGUGUAGAUUCAAAGAGAAGCUAGAGGCAUGAUAUUCAAGAAAAAAGGAAUAAUUUAUAAAUCAAGUGGCUAAAUAACUUAAUAGGAAGUAGAUGUGAUCUUAAGAGCAGGGAUUAUCAUCAGAAAGGAGCAGGGACACCUUUUACUCUGAAAGAAAGGGAAAAGAAAAAAAUAUAUAUAUAUGAUUGUGUCAUAUAUAUAUGAUUGUGUCAUAUAUAUGAUUGUGUCAUAUAUAUGUAUGAUUGUAUCAUAUAUAUGUAUGAUUGUGUCAUAUAUAUAUGUAUGAUUAUGUCAUAUAUAUACAUAUAAUUGUGUCAUAUAUAUAUAUAUAUGAUUGUGUCACUUUGCUGUACAGCAGAAAUUAACACAACAUUGUAAAUCAGCUAUACUUCGAUUAAAAAAAAAAAGCCAAGAAAGAAAGAAAGAAUGAAAGGGAAGCUCUAUAAGGAUAGAUGAAGAUUUCAUGAGGUUGGAAGUGGCAGAAAUGGAGGGAAUUUGAGAGAUUCAUGGCUAGUGGUUUCUGAUCUAUGGAAAGCCUUGGUAGUGACCAUAGGAUCAUGGCAUUUGGAAGAAUGAUAAAACCUUAAAAAGUCGCAAAUCUACAAACCAGUGCUCUUCAUGGUCCAAGAGCCAGUACUGGUGUUUACUCUGAGACAUCACAAAGUGAUUAUUCUAGAAUGUAAAACAGUUGUACACCAAGGGCAUUAGUUAGUUCAGCCAAUUAUUUUUCUCCUGAGCAAGAGUUUCUCAAUGAUGGAAAGAGUGUGUUCUUUCACAUUGUGCAAGCCCAUGGUUUGUCACAGAAGGAUAACAGAACGUUACAUAGCCAUGUAGACAGCUACUUCACACUGCAUUGCUCUAGAACACUGAAUUUUGGGGGUUCGUUUGUUGUGGCAGCUGAGAUGGACCUAGCCAAUUAUGCUGGUAUGAAUGUUAGUGUCAGAAAUUCCUAUUUUGAAAUUCUAACCCUCCAAAAUGGUAGUAUUAAGAGAUUGAGGUCUUGGGGAGGUACAUAAAUCAUGAGAGUGGAACCCUCAAUAAAGGCAAUUAGUGCCUUACAGAAGAAGGUCCAGAGAGAUCCCUAGCCCCUUCCAUGUUCUCCCUGUGUUCUCAUAUGGAGGAAGAGCACCACUGUGCUGGGGCUUUGAUCCUGGACUUCCCAGCUUCCAGAACUGUGAGCAAAAGCACCCUGUCUGCAAUAUUUUGUUAUAACAGACCUAGGAGACUAAGGCAACCAUACAGCAGGGCUGGGGAACUAGAAGAAUUGGAGGACAGCAAAAUAUAGUCAGAGAAGGAACAUUCUGAAUUUCAAAUGUCAGGGAACUAUGGGAUGCUCUUUGUGCUGUAGGUUUAGGGAGGUAGAAAGAUGGGUGCUGGAGAGAAAGCCCAUAAAUGGAGUAUAAUGGCUUUGGAAUUUCAGUUGGAAGUUUGGUGUGAUAUUCUGUCAUCAUUUUUAAAAAGUUCUCUUUUCAUGUGCGGUGAGGACAGUUGUCUAUGUUUGUAGGAGGUUUUGGAGUUAAAAUUGCCUGGAUUUAUAUCUCAUCACCGUUAUCGUCUAGUUGCCCUUGAACAAGAAACUUUGCUGAAAUUCAGUUUUAAAUUUGUGGGGCAUGUGGAUAACACUGUGUACUCUGCAAGACGGAGUAUAAUUUGUGAUAACCUGAGAUAAGAAAUGUAAGGCAAACAGUACAUGACUAAGCACAUCUCGGGCGCUCAGUGCAAAUUACUUUCUCUUGUUUCUGUCAUAGCCAGAAUGGAGGCCCUCCUGAUUUUGCCACAUCAACACUCUUUAAUACAACUUUCUGCAAUGGUAAGAGUGUUCUAUAAUCUACACCUUCCAAUGUGAUAGCCACCAACUCUUUGUGGCUAAACACUUAAAAUAUUGGCCAGUACGACUAAGGACUGAUCGUUUAAUUUUAUGUCAUGUUAUUUAUUAUUUUUUUAUGGCCACACCCCAGCACAUGGAAGUUCCUGAGCCAGUGAUUGAGUCUGACCUGUGGCUGUGACCUGUGCUACAGCAGUGGUAACACUAGCUCCUUUAACCCACUCCACCAGGCUGGGGAUAGAAUCUGUGUCUUCCCAGUCACUUGAGCUGCUGCAAUCAGAUUGUUAACCUGCUAUGUCACAGUGGGAACUCUGAAUUUUAUGUCAUUUUAGUCAAUUUUAAAAACUGCAUAUGACUAGUGGCAACCGUAUUGAGCAGCAUGGCCACAUUAUUGUUCUAACUGUUCCAAUCUAUCUUUUUCCAGUCCAUCUUCCAUAUGGCUAUCUGAGUUAGCUUAUUGAAAUACUUCUCUUGUCAUGUGAUUCUUUCAUCUCAAACAUCUUUGAUAGUUCUGUGUUUUCUACUGAGCAAAAUGAGGUAGCGUCUGAGCAAGGAAGGAAGAGGACAAGAGAGAAAAAGUUUAGGGUUCUCCAGAGAAACAGAACCAACAGAAAGAUAGAUAGAUAGAUAGAUAGAUAGAUAGAUAGAUAGAUAGAUAGAUAGAUAGAUGCUAGAGAUUUAUUUUAGGGAACUGGUUCAUGUGAUUGUGGAGACUGGCAAGUCUAUAAUCUGCUGGGUAGGCCAGCAGGCUGGAGAUCUAGGAGAGAGUAGAUUUUGUGGUCCAAAGGCUGCCUCCCUCUUCUGGGAAAGAUCAGUCUUUUUCUAGAAGGUCUUUAACUGAUUAGAUUCUUUACUAUGAAGAGUAAAGAAUUCAAUGUCUACUUAUUUAAAUGUCAAUCUCAUUAAAAAAAACCUUCAAAGUAACAUCUAGGAUAAUGUUUGAUCAAAUAUCUUAGUACCAUGACCUAACCAAGUUGAUACAUGAAAUUAACUAUCACACCUGAUCAUACUUCUGUCUAGACAUUUAUCACCAAUUCAUGGUGUCAAAGAAGAAACAAAGUAGGGCUUUCUGUGUGGAGGUAGCCACUCUUUCUGCAAUGCCAUAGGGUAGGCAUUGAAAAACUUUCUUUUUCCUUCAAAAUCUCCAUCUCCUUGCUCACUGACUAUCUCUAUUGACCAAACACAGCUCUUUGGCCCUUUAUUUUUUUUAUUUUUAUUUUUUGUCUUUUUGCCUUUUCUAGGGCCACUCCUGCGACAUAUGGAAGUUCCCACAGCAAUGUGGGAUCUGAAUCGCGUCUGUGACCUACACCCACAGCACAUGGCAACACCGAAUCCUUAACCCACUGAGCAAGGCCAGGGAUCAAACCCGCAACCUCAUGGUUCCUAGUCGGAUUCGUUAACCACUGUGCCACGACGGGAACUCCAGGCCCUUACUUACUUAUAAAAACCCAGCACUUGGCCCUGCUGGUUCCAUGUGAAGUCUUAUCAGGCAAAUUCUGAAAAUGACUCCUGGCAUUGAGUCUGCAGGGGUCAGCAAUGUAUGCAGCUUUGGUCUUUCCUGUGUAGGUCUGGCCUGAUUAAAACCAGGGACUUGGAGGGGAAAAGCUUUAUAUCUUGUUAUCAGUUCAUUGAGUCAUUUAGCCUCUGCCUGACUCUGUAAAUGUGACAGUAUUACUAACAGCUUGAGCUCAAUUUGAUUUAUUGGUGAAAUUAAAUUCUAUACUUCCACAAUGAUGUCAGUACUUCCUGGGUCUUAAAAAAAAAAAAAAAAAAAA